UGACAUGAUCACCCACAACAUCCUUCUCUCUAAAUUGGAAAGAUCUGUUCUAGCAGUGUGGUUGAUAUAUGAGGCCAAGACUGAGAGGAGGUCGUCACCACAACCUGUGCCUCACUGUAGAUUCAUCAGUGAAUUCAUCAAAAUAACAGCUCAGUAGCGAGGUUUGAUGUAUGAAGAAGCUCUGUUCAUUCUCUGUGGCCUCUGAAAAAGCAGUAAUUCACAUUCUAGAAGUCACAGCUUUCUUAGUAAAGACCCAAUAGGGCAAGUUUGCCUGCAACAAUGUGGAGAAGUGUCUAAGCUGUGAAUCCUGUGAGUGAAAUGGAUCAGCGAAUUUCACCCAUACGCUCUGUGCAUGUCAGCUCUCAUCUUUAUCUCAAGAAUAGUAGGAUGUGAGUAUCCCCAGAAGUGACAAAGCACAUCACCUAGGAUGUCUCGGUUACCAUCACAAGCUGAGAAUGGGAGAUAUGAAGCACUGACCUAGGAGGGAAUGGGUAUGAAAGCAGCAAUGUGGUGAUGUGCACAGCCUACGUCCAGGGGGCCCACCAGUCCCUCGUGCUGCCCCGCUGUCCCACAGUGCAGAGAUACACACGGUGAAAACCAGUGUUCCAAGGGCACCAGUAGCUGUGGGAUGUUUGAUUCUGAUCUGAAAAGCCAAAUGGCAACAGAAGGGCUGCAGGAUCACACGUUAGCUCUGUUGUAAUCUCCUACCAAGUGCACACACAAUAGGCAGGACGUCAUUCUUUUCUUUUUCAUCCCUUCAAGCAUAGCCACAGAUCUGAGAUGCAGGCUCCUUUCCUGUAGUGUUCCUUUUAAUGUGGUCCUAUAGAAUUCAUGAUAGCCACGCACCUUACACUCUCAAUGUGAUCUUCAGGGAUCUGUGUCCAACUCAUUAAUCCCCAGUGGGUUUAACUAGAAACAACAGAAAGGAAAAUAGUUUGUUUUUUUUCUUUUGACUGCAUGAGGAGCAAAAAGCAGUUGACAAUCUUAACUAUGCUUGCUCUGCAAGCCUGGUAAGAGUGAA